CUAGUGUAGGCUCCCAGGGCUACAUGUAGGGCAGUGGCCGGGUCUGCUCGCCGGGGUCAGGAAGGCUGUUCUUCCAGGAAGGGCUGCAAAGACCCUGGGAACGGGACCAGCCCAGCUCACAAGUAUGAAGAGAAUGUCGGGAGAGGAAGUGGUGGCUGUGAGUCAGCAUGAGUCAUCUCGUUCCAAUGAGAAUGAAGAUUGAGGUGUGCGCCUUUUUUUUUGAGUCUCAAUCGUGUGGACAUCAUUGGGAAUGGAGGGAAAUAACUGACUGUAUGGUCGUUGCUUUUUAAGUUUCAAACUGACAUUCCAGGCGGGCUGUGCCCGAGCCAGCAUCUGUUUUCACAUCUUCACAGCCUGGUCCUGGGAAGGUGGAGCCCACGGCUUCUCCCUGGUGAGAGCGAUUCUCCUAAAGCAGCAACCUGAGAGGGCGGAUGCUUAAAGGAGAGCACACAUCUGGAGCAGUAUCUAGCGGACGGGAUGAGUUCAACACACGAUAGCCAAGAGGACCCGGCGGCCAAGAGGACCCGGCUGUGUUCGGGGCAGCCCUGGGGAAGGCUCGCACUCUGCUGAUGGAUUAGUUAAAGACUGAAACUUUCUGAACCACGGGACUCCCAUGGACCAGAAACAAAAUCAAAACUCGAAUCCCCAACUCGGGCUUUUACUUGAAGGGAAAUCAGAGUCCCCCAUUGGAGGCAGUGGUCAUGAAGCCACGGAGACUUUUGUCAAAGUUUUAUUGCUUCAAAAGGACUUAGGUCAACCUCUAAUUGCCUCUACCCAGAGAUACGAGCUGGGACCUGGUGGUGGUAUGUCCUGGGCCCUGAGAGCAGCACGAGGCUUGGAGGCCCUGGCAGAGAGAUCUUCAGCAAGACAGGCAUCUCUGCUACCUGACAGGAGGAGACCCCCAGCAGGGCUUGGACUCAUCUGAAUAGAAAGAUGAGCAGCUGGCUUGGGAGAUGGGCAAAGUGACGAACUGGAGGGGCUAGGACACGGCUGAAGGCUGAGGCGUGCAGCCUCCAGCAUCUCUCUUCUUUACGAACUGGAGCCCUACAAGGAGAUUCUCAAGCUGGCAACAUGAUUGUCCACAUAGAAGAAUAAGCUGUCCUCCUUUCACUGACUGCAUUGAUCAAGCACGUGCUUCCACUUGUUCUGAGGGUGUUGCUGCAGCAGACAGAAGCACAGGGGCUGAGAGCACAGCUUGGGCGUGGUAGACCAGGUGGACACCCCAACUCCACCAUUCCCAGCUGUGUACCCCUGGGCACCUUCCUUGACCUCUCUGAACUUUGGUCCCCUCAUCUGAAAUGGAGGUUAUGGCAGAAACAAGAGCCUAUAGUCGUUGUGAGUAUUAAGUGAGAGCAAUGUACAGACAACUGAGCAGUGUACUUGCUGCAGGUAUUACUACUACUUGCUGCUGUUGUAGGUGAUCCUGCACUGUCUGCUGUGCUGCCCCCAGGACUGUCACUGGAGCCAAGAAAACUCAAUUCUCCUGCUCAGUGGCCCUGUGACUUGUCAACUCACACAUCCAUUCUGAGCUUCACUGCAGAAUGGUUAUAAAUGGUUUAUUUAUAACAUGGUGACAAUAACCCCUCUCUCAUAAGAUUCUUGUUAAGACAGGACGAAACAACAAAUAAAAGUGCUUUGAGCACUUUAAUAAUAAUAAUGAUAAUGAUAAUAACAGCAGCUAAAAAUUUUUGAGCACUCCCUAGCACCAGCACCAUGGAUUGCUUUUUGCUUACAACAUUUCACUUAAUCCUUAUAACCAUGAGUUAUUCGUCUAAUUUAUGUAGAUUGGGAAACUAGUCCCCAAGAAGUAAUCUGCCCAAAGACACAGCUUGUGAGCCGUAGAAUCCAGAUUUGGACCCCCAGGAUCUGGCUGUGUUCUCAUGCUUCCCAGAGAAAGUAAGCCAGUGAGGGAAAGAACAGCUUGGCCUGGGGCUCACUUCCACUGGAAAGCUCUGUACGAUGGAUCCAUGAAGUUUUCCUUGAAUAUCUCUGCCCAGAGUGCAACAAAGAGGCCACUAGUUGAAUAAUUCCCACAAUCCCAUGGUAUGGUGGAGGUCCAUAUGUGAGGGGUGGGCGCUCUAUGGAAAGGUCUCCUUUGUGAAGGACGGUAGGCUACAGCCUAAGAGCCUACCAAUUCUAAGAGUCUGGGAUUUGUUUCCUUUUUAUAGCCUGGCUAUAUUUAGGUCAAUGAAUUGUAUUCAAGAUGGACUCAUCAGUGCUUCAGUCAAUGCAUUCUUUCAUUGAAAAGUUAUUGAAAGGACUUGUGCUCCAGACAGGGUAGCAUAAAGUCAUUCCUCUCUUCUCUCCUCUCAGCUAGGGACAAUGAUAAACUCUGGAAACACUGCAAGAAGCAGCCAUUAAGAGAGUGAAAAGGCAAGCCACAGAGUGGGAGAAGAUAUUUGCAGAUCAUAAAACUGAUAAGAGACUUGUAUCCAGAAUACAUUAAAAAUUUCCAUAAAUCAUUAAUAACCCAAUAGAAAAAAAUGAGCCAAAGACUUGGAUAGGCACUUCACAAAGAAGGGAUAUAGUUUACCAGUAAACAUGAGAAGCAGAGUGCACAGUGAAAUCCCAAGGAGACACAUCUACACGCCUGCCAGAGUGGCUGAAAAUGAACAGACUAAUAACCUAAGUGCUGGCGAGGAUAUGGGGCAAAUACACCUGCCAUCCACUGGCUAGUGGGGGCGUGAAGUGGAACCAUCACUCUGGAAAACUGUUUGGCAGUAUUGAGUGCUGAGUGUUGUAAUACCCCCAUGGCUCAGCAUUUCUACCCCUCUGUAUACACCCAACUGAAACACGUACUUAUUAACACUGAAGGCAUGUACAGAGCUGCUCGUAACCAUCCAGUUAUAGUAGCCAAAGACUGGAAACAACAGUGGAAUGGAUUAAUAUACUGUGGCGUCCUUAACAGUGAAACUGAACAAUGGAAUGCAGCACACGGUAACACAGAACUGAGAUCUCCACGCCCAGUGAGAGAACCAAGACAACCAAGAGGGUUGAAUGGUUCUACGUACACCAGGUUCAAGAACAGACAAAGCUGAUGACGAUUGAAGUCCAGACGGUAGUUAUGUGGGGAUGUAACUGGAAAGAGGCACAAGGGGUGCUGAGGUGCAGCUAAUGUCCCGUUUCUUGAACUGGGCAGUGAUUUCAUAGGUUUGGACACUGUGAACAUCUGUCGAGCUCUUAUGCUUAUCAUUCGUGCACUUUUCUCUCUGCGUGUUUCGCUUCAAUAGAGUUUACUUAAAA